rnacentral:lncRNA from 1 species
UUGACGUCGCCCCCGGGGGUGACCCCCACGGCCGCGCCCCUAGGGGCCUCCACUCCGCCACGGCCGCGCCUUCGGAGGGCUCCACUCGCCCAUGACCUUGACCCUCACGACCUCGCCUCUUAGGGGUUUCCACCUGCCCCUCCCAGCCGAGCCACCGUCACUGCCUGCCCCCACGCAUGGUCUCCACUCCUGCCACAGCUGCCCAUCUGGGGGUCUGCU